rnacentral:rRNA from 1 species
AGUGAACGCUGGCGGCAUGCCUAACACAUGCAAGUCGAACGAGUGGCGCACGGGUGAGGAAUACAUCGGAAUCUACUCUGUCGUGGGGGAUAACGUAGGGAAACUUACGCUAAUACCGCAUACGAUUCAAUGAGCCGAUGUCGGAUUGGCUAGUUGGCGGGGUAAAGGCCAACCAAGGCGACGAUCCGUAGCUGGUCUGAGAGGAUGAUCGGCCACACUGGAACUGAGACACGGUCCAGACUCCUACGGGAGGCAGCAGUGGGGAAUAUUGGACAAUGGGCGAAAGCCUGAUCCAGCCAUGCCGCGUGGGUGAAGAAGGCCUUCGGGUUGUAAAGCCCUUUUGUUGGGAAAGCGGUACCCAAAGAAUAAGCACCGGCUAACUACGUGCCAGCAGCCGCGGUAAUAC